AUUUGUAUGAAAAGGCGAUUUCGCGCGGGUCCUCCUCUUUCGUCUUAACAUGCUGUCAAUACCUAAAACGCACACACUGUCUAAUUGUAUCGUAGUAAAUGAGAUAGCACUGUCGCAUGUUACUGGGCCUGGGCAAGGGAAUAAUAAGAAAACUCAUCA